GCCCGUCGCUCCUACCGAUUGGAUGACUCGGUGAAAUCACCGGAUGCUUACGAGCAGAAAGUGAUUAAAUCACGUUAUCUAGAGGAAGGAGAAGUCGUAACAAGGUAACGGUAGGUGAACCUGCCGUUGGAUCAGUUCUAGUUUUAAUAACUAACACCAACUUCUUUUAUUAAACAAAAACCAAUACAAAAUUAAAAACUAACUUCAUCAAAAACCAAGUCUCUAAGCAAUGGAUGUCUUGGCUCCUCACACGAUGAAGAACGUGGCAUAAUGUGUUAAGUAACCGGAGUUGCAAACAUCAUGACAAGUUAAUCUUUGAAUGCAAAUUGCGCUAAACUCGAUCUCAGUCGAGAAGCAUGAGUGUGACAGUACUACAUCUUUUAUAAUAAUU
rnacentral:rRNA from 1 species